GGCAGUUAUGGCAUUCCACGUUCCCUAACCACAUUGUUCAGUCAGAGAUAGAGCUCUUCAAGGAAUAACUAGGACAAGGAAUUGAAUAUAAUCUAGCUAAUUUGCUGCACCAAAUCCAAUCUAUGCUGUUGUCUAGAUGCUGCUACUUCUGAUGUUCCAGGACAAAGAAAACAAACUGCCACGUCCAGCCAUGUCAAGCAUCAUCAACCGAAUGCCAAGGAUGUGUCAACCAUCUCCAGCUGUUGCCUACUUGAUUUUCCUCACCAGCUAAACAAACCAAAGUUCACGAGAUGCAUGACAUCACCCUCCACUCUGAAGGCUCAGGACAGAGAACAAAUCCUCUGUAAGCCAAGGCACUGCGGAGAAAGGGGCAGAUGGAAUUUCAUCUUUAAAUUUGCUCCCCCCCCCCUUAAUUAUCCGCAUUAUCUGUAGUUGGAAUAACAACAUUCAGGUCAUUAACCCCUUCAGGGCCCACCUCAAAGUUAUGUAUCGUUAAUGACAUUUCAUACAGAUACUGAAUUUCUCCAAUACAUGUGAGCAGAAAUGGGCCACAGAAACAGCGCACACAUCUCUGCAUUUCGGCAAGUAGACAACCUGAAAUGAUUACUCCAUGGGAAUACUCCAGAGCUAUUGCACCAAUUUGAAAUAACUGGUCUAAAAACACUGUAAACAUUUGAAAGACUAUAAAACAAUGGAAGCAGCUUUCCGGAAUGUGCCCCUUUCAUUUGGGGAAUGGAAUAUAAGUCGGUGAAUAAAUCACUUUGAAAACUUAA